rnacentral:tRNA from 1 species
GAGGGUAUAGCUCAAGCAGUAGAAUGCAUGCUUAGCAUGCAUGAGGCCCUGGGUUCAAUCCCUGGUACCUCCU